rnacentral:rRNA from 1 species
CACGUAGUUAGCCGGUGCUUAUUCUUUAGGUACCGUCAGCAAAAAGUGGUAUUAACACUUCUCUUUUCUUCCCUAACAAAAGUCCUUUACAACCCGAAGGCCUUCUUCAGACACGCGGCAUGGCUGGAUCAGGGUUGCCCCCAUUGUCCAAAAUUCCCCACUGCUGCCUCCCGUAGGAGUCUGGGCCGUGUCUCAGUCCCAGUGUGGCGGAUCAUCCUCUCAGACCCGCUACUGAUCGUCGCCUUGGUGGGCCUUUACCCCACCAACUAGCUAAUCAGAUAUUGGCUGCUCAAAUAGCGCAAGGUCCGAAGAUCCCCUGCUUUCCCCCUUAGGACGUAUGCGGUAUUAGCCAAUCUUUCGAUUGGUUAUCCCCACUACUCGGUACAUUCCAAUAUGUUACUCACCCGUUCGCCACUCGCCGGCAGGUGCAAGCACCUCCGCUGCCGUCCGACUUGCAUGUGUAAAGCAUGCCGCCAGCGUUCAAUCUGAGCCAGGAUCAAACUCU